UUUGUUGUUGACCUAAAGUCUUAAACCACUUGCUGCAUUCUUGUUGGUUGUGCAGGAGGCUCUACUUCUGCUUUUCAAAGAUGUAGGGUUGUUUAAUUGUGUAUCUGUUUGCAGCCUUUUUUAUGUGCAAAUGUAAACGUGGCCAGCAGCAACUUAUUUAGAUUUAAAGUAACAAGAGAACCUA